UCCCUCCAGAUUCCUUCCCCUUUAGACCUAAGUAUUGAUCUGAGGGGCUAAAAUAAAAAGGAGGAAAAGUAAAACUGAAAUGGACUUGGAUUCUUUAGACAAGUUCAUUUCAAACAUAU
rnacentral:snoRNA from 1 species